GUCAUAGGGCCAGAGAACAACCAGUGAUGAACCAGAGUGUGAAGAAUUCAUAAUUAUACAGGGAACUAUGCAACUGAAGGUACAAAGAACCUUGGUACAAACCUUUGACACAAAAAAAGGAAUAAAAAGAAAGAAGCCGCAUUACCUUGCGAUGUUAUCACCACCCAAUGAAAUAUGGUUCAAUCACACAUUGCUCUGGAACUGAUAGGUCACUGGAAGCAUGAUUGAUGGAUCCAAUCAAAGCAGGGGUUACUGUCUCUGUAGUUGUUGGACAAUGAAAGAGCAGAGAAAUUGAGGAGGAACAAAUGCACAAGCAAGACUAGAAGCAGAAGCAACCUCGAGGGGCUGCGAAACAGCUCCACAUGAAGAAAUAACAGCUAAAUGGUACAGGACAGCCACAGUCUAUUGUCCUUAGUGCCAUUUUCUCCAGAUGAGCAAGGAUGCUGUGUCAAACUUUUAUGCAACUGGAUCCUUCCAAAGAUCCUCUGGGGACCUGUGAGACAACUGUCCAUUCUCCACCCACAAAUGUAUUAAGGCUGUUAUCUGUGCCACAUUAUACUGUUUCAUCUUGUUUUCCUGUGAUGAGGUCAGUGUUACAACCUCAAAAGUAGGCUCUGGCAACAUGGGUUGGUUUCCCCCAGAAACAGGGAACCAGACAUUGUCAACACGAGUCAUUGAGAGGGCCAUUUCAUAAUGUAGCUGAGUUUAUCAAUAGAAAAGGAUUUCAUUCCAUCAAUGUGCAGGAUGUUUGUGAUCAUUGUUACCACAUCUGAAAAGACUAUGGGGUUAAAAACAAUGACUGCAGAUGCUGGAAACCCUUGGAUGCUGCCUGAGAAGACUAUGUCAGGUGGCCUUGGGGUUGUCAUGAUGCCCAUAUCCUUAAGAACUUUCAUGUUCCUGUUGUAUACCAAGGGCUAGAUGCCUUUUGCGAGGGUUGCUGGGAGACCACCCUCUGCGACCAUGCUUGAUGACUCCAUAUUGCAAGCCCUGACCAAGGCUGGGGUAUUGAUAAAAUACAGACCAUUCUUCACCAGGAUCAUGAAGGAGCAGCCAAUAGACAUGCAAAAGAUAAGAUUCUGAUGGCUAGAUUAGCCUGGGGACACCUUGCAUUACAGUCCAGAAACAAUAUAUAAAUGCAAUUUUUUUUAUUGGGUGAGAGGGCAACUCUGAAAUCAGUUAUCAGAUGGAGGACUGAAAACUCACA